rnacentral:rRNA from 1 species
UCCGUAGGCGGUGCGGCAAGUCGGAAGUGAAAUCUCCGGGCUUAACUCGGAGGCGUGCUUCCGAAACUGCCGUGCUCGAGUGCGAGAGAGGCAAGUGGAAUUGCGGGUGUAGCGGUGAAAUGCGUAGAUAUCCGCAGGAACAUCCGAGGCGAAAGCGGCUUGCUGGAUCGCAACUGACGCUGAGGGACGAAAGCUAGGGGAGCAAACAGGAUUAGAUACCCUGGUAGUCCUAGCCCUAAACCAUCAGGACUUGGGGUUUGCCCUGUACGGGGCAAGUCCCGGAGCUAACGCGUUAAGUCCUGCGCCUGGGGAGUACGGUCGCGAAGGCUGAA